rnacentral:rRNA from 1 species
GUGCCAGCAGCCGCGGUAAUACGUAGGUGGCGAGCGUUAUCCGGAAUUAUUGGGCGUAAAGAGCGCGCAGGUGGUUGAUUAAGUCUGAUGUGAAAGCCCACGGCUUAACCGUGGAGGGUCAUUGGAAACUGGUCGACUUGAGUGCAGAAGAGGGAAGUGGAAUUCCAUGUGUAGCGGUGAAAUGCGUAGAGAUAUGGAGGAACACCAGUGGCGAAGGCGGCUUCCUGGUCUGUAACUGACACUGAGGCGCGAAAGCGUGGGGAGCAAACAGGAUUAGAUACCCCUGUAGUCC